CCUACGGGAGGCUGCAGUGGGGAAUAUUGCACAAUGGGGGAAACCCUGAUGCAGCAACGCCGCGUGAGUGAUGACGGCCUUCGGGUUGUAAAGCUCUGUCUUUAGGGACGAUAAUGACGGUACCUGAGGAGGAAGCCACGGCUUACUACGUGCAAGCAGCCGCGGUAAUACGUAGGUGGCGAGCGUUGUCCGGAUUUACUGGGCGUAAAGGGAGCGUAGGCGGACUUUUAAGUGAGAUGUGAAAUACUCGGGCUCAACUUGAAUGGUGCAUUUGAUACUGUAAGUCUAGAGUGCAGGAGAGGAGGAUGGAAUUCGUGGUGUAGCGGUGAAAUGCGUAGAGAUUAGGAAGAACACCAGUGGCGAAGGCGAUUCUCUGGACUGUAACUGACACUGAGGCUCGAAAGCGUGGGGAGCAAACAGGAUUAGAUACCCUUGUAGUC
rnacentral:rRNA from 1 species